rnacentral:tRNA from 1 species
GUUGUGGCUCAGCGGUAGAGCGCUCACCUAGCACGUGUGAGGCACUGGGUUUGAUCCUCAGCACAACG